ensembl:lncRNA
CCUUCUGAAGGUAUGUACUCAAUGCUGGUUGCAUGUGGAGCCCACAGUGGGCUGCUGCCCUGCCUCUCCUGGCCCUUAAUCCUUGUGUUCUUUUGGGUGAGUUACCCAGUGAAUGGGGUGAAGACAAGCUGGGUGCUUCCACAAUUGAAGGCCCCAGGCUUGGCCAGUCCACCCACUCAGCUCAGGUUGAAGAGCAUUCAAGUGUGACCCUUCAACCCCAUCUGCAGGGUGUAUCCAACUGCUUACUCUUUUGAUCACAAGUUGUUUUGUCUUUAGAAAGUUUUCACUGCAGAAUUAACUUCUAGUGUGGAUGUUGGACUAUGAGAUGGUGAGAGAUACUUUUGUAAGAGAUCACUAAUGUCCAGAUCCAAAACUGAAAUGCUUUGGUCCAGAAGAGAGGGAUGUAUCUUUAAAAUAAAUGCAACACACCAUAUUAAGAAAUGGGUCAUCUUGUUAGCUUAACUAUUGCAACCCUGUCACUCCUAAAAACUGCUUAAUUAGGAGUAGGGGGACCUUGUGAAGCUAACCAAAAAUAUUUCCAGUUGUUUACAGGCGUAGCCCUGUUUCUACAUAUAUCAGUUGGUUGGUUGCAAAGAAAAACUGAGUCUCAAAAGCCUUUUCUGACUCUCAUUUCUAAGAUCUCCUGCUAGACUUCCACAGCCUCUCAGGUUAUGCACAUUGCCUGAGUACUUGGUGGAACUUGGACUCCUGAGUUGAAUGUCCUCAUAGCUAGAGUUAAUGGCCCCAGAAUUUAAACCUUUGUUACAGAUGCUGUGUUGAACUAAGUUCAGGCAGCUACCACCAAUGUGUGGGAUGCUGUAUAGAUAAACCAGAUAAUAUCCUUGGCCUCAAAGACGUGAAUGAUGUCUCUUCUGUGGGUCUAUGCGGCCACCCCUCUGUUCCCACAGAAGAGUAAAGAUAAUUUCCAGACGAGGUCAUGAUUUCCGGUCAGCCUGAAAAAAUGUUUAGUUAGACACAAGCUGCUCUCAGGAGAGCUUUGGGAUGGAGGAUUCUUUGACCAGUGUCUUUGCCACAGCCACAGAGCUCACCCACUCACUGGGCUGCUGGUCCUAGGACAAACAAUGGUGCAUUUCACUGCAUUGUCUCUGGUUUCCUGAAUAUGGUGGAAUUCUCUGCUCAGUGACUUGCUCACAUCAGACCAACACAAUGCCCCCUCUAGCCUGGCAGCCUCAAGCAAGACAGAAUUACAGCAACCUCUGCACCACCAUGGAGAAGGGGGAGAAGGAAAUGGCAACCCACUCCAGUGCUCUUGCCUAGAAAAUUCCAUGGACAGAGGAACCUGGCGGGCUACAGUUCAUGGGGUCGCAGAGUCGGCCACGACUGAGCACAUCAGCACGGCACCACCAGCCUGGCUGUUUCCAUCAAACCCUUGGCUGGAAGGGGAACUGAAAAUUCAUUUAAUUUAAACAGCAUGAGCUGAAAGAUUUCAGCAAGAUGCUGAAACAUUUAACCUCUGGUUUUAAGUGGCUCUAUGGGUCAGCUCAGGUGAACACAACAAGUAGCCCAUUUGGGGCCAAUUCCAUCUCCCCAAGAUUUAUAAUCUGGUUCAAGUCAGCAGGGCAUCAACAGUCCAAAGAGGGAGAAGCCUGCUCUUAGAACGGUAGCUUUCUUUUCAAGCUCUCACCUCUGCCAUUUCUUGUUUACUGUCAUCUCUGAAAGGCAGUAAACUCCAGAAGAUCAAGAACUCUGUCAGUAUCUAAUUCACUGUUUUAUCCCCAGUAGAUUUUUGACAUGAUGUGCUUAGAAUAUGGUACUUUGGGCAUUUUAGGCCAACUCAGUAUUUUUUGUUGAGUUCAGUUGUUGAGCAUUUAGAAAGCCACAGACAGACAUUGUCUUUCCAGAAGUUUACACGAUAGACUGGCAUUUGUCGCCUGUGUUUGCGUGUACCAGCUACGUCACCAUACAGAAAUAUUCACGGUGCUCUGUGAUGCAGGCACACUGUCAGCUAUGAGCAGGAGGGACAUGCAAGAUGGGGGCCCUGCCUCUCCUAUCAGGCGGGGCAGCAUCAGCUCUCCCCUUCCCUUUUUAUUGUUUCCUGCUGUUUUCCUCUGAUUUCAGUCUGUGGCACACUGGAGGUGUUCUGGAGAGAGGCUGUAGACCAGGCGCUCUACAAGUGUGACCUUCAUUCUGUAGCAGCAACAGCACUUGUUAGAAAUGCUCUGGUCCCCACCCAGACCCACUGAAUCAGACUCUGAGGCCCAGCAAUCUGCGUUUUAAGAAGCCCUUCCUUCAUUGGGCUUCCCUGAUAGCUCCCUCAUUGAGCUUCCCUGGUAACUUCCCUCACUGGGCUUCCAUGAUAGCUCAGUUGGUAAAGAAUCUGCCUGCUAUGCAGGAGACCCUGGUUCGAUUCCUAGGUUGGAGAAGAUCCCUGGAGAAGGGAUAGGCUACCCACUCCAGUAUUCUGGCCUGGAGAAUUCCAUGGACUAUACAGUUGGACACAACUGAGUGCCUUUCACUUUCUUUUUAUUAUUAUUAUUAUUUUUUUACUUUACAAUAUUGUAUUGGUUUUGCCAUACAUCAACAUGCAUCCGCCACAGGUGUACACAUGUUCCCCAUCCUGAACCCCCCUCCCACCUCCCUCCCCAUACCAUCCCUCUGGGUCACUUUUCAUUUUCAGAGGAUUCUGGUAAGAGUUUGAGAACCACCCAUGUAGAUGCUUGUCAGAGAGUGUGGAGGAGUGAGAAUAUCAGAGCCUGCCAGAGAUGAUCCUUCCGAGACUGUCAUUGCAGGAGCUCUAGGGAAACACCAGGAAAGAAUUUUCUUGCUGUCACUGUCUUUGUGAAAGUCCACAGAGUUACACCUUGAGCAUCCACAGCCUCCCACCCCUUGCCACCUCACCUGGCCUCCUGCUACCCGGGAUGGCUGAGCAGCAGGAAUCAGGGCUGCUCGCAGAGUGGGAAUCAGAACCGUGUCCUUAAUCAGAAGUGUGUCAGGAACCCCAGGGCUUGGGGCUGCAUUCAGGAAGGAAGGACAGAACUGGCUGCUUACUUCCCAGCUGACCUGAGGCUCUCCUGGGGACUGAACCCCUCAGAGCUCCCGCCUGGAACCAGCACCCUCUGCUGCAGAAAGGGAAUCUCUCCCAGGCCUCUGUCAACCCUCCCCAGAGCAUAUCUUCACCUCGAGGCUAGGAGACACCCCAGAGAGAAUGCUCCCAGCCUAGUUUGGGACCUGGGACCUGUACCCUCAUGUCUCGACAAGACAAGAAGAUCUGAGCUCUAUGAAGUUGAUUCAGUUGGCUGCAGGCUGUAACCCCCUUCAGUACAUCACCAGGUCAUGGUUCCCAAACUUGGCUGCAUGUUGGAAUCACCUGGGGAUCUUUAAAAACUACUGUUCCCACUCCCAGCCCCAGAUGUUCUGAUUUAAUUGGCAUAGGGUGUGACCUGGCCACCGGAGUGUUUAAAUUCCCCCAGGUGAUUCUAAUGUGCACACAAGUUUGGGAGCCAAUGAACAAGUUCUCCUGAGACCAAGCCCAGCUCAUAUUCUAAUGUUUAGGGAGCAACAUAGGCUUAAAGAUGGAAGGUAGAACCGGCUUUCAAGGACAAGAAAAAAAAAAAAGUAUUUCAAUCAUCAGACAGACUCCAGACUUAGCAAACAGCUGGUGAAGAAAGGAGGGGAGAGAGGUAGGGACAGGGGGUUGCUGGUGAGCGUUGGAUUCACUGGUGGAGAUGAUGUCAGACAUUCCUCUGCGAUGUUAGAACUGGGGAAACACAUGAAAAUAACCAUGGCUGUGAAAAUGGAACUUUCUGUGAAAUGGCAUAUUCUUGGAAGGAGAGGGAAGAGGAGAGGGGGAAAAGGUGGGGGGUGGGGGGGGAGCCAAGCCAGAGAGAAUAUAGGAGGGAGAUUCACUCCCAGACCUCUGGAGAAUGGAAGAAGGAACAAGAUGUGAAAAGAUGUGCAGAGGAGAAGGCGGUUUGAGUCCCCACGAGGAAUGGGGACAGAGGCCAACUGCUGACCCAGAAGGAGCCGAAGCAACAAAAGAAAAGAUAAGCCAGGAGAGAGAGAAGGAAUCUACUGCUAAGAGAAGAAACACCCAGCUUUUGACCCAAACCCACCCAGGCAGAUGGAGUGCUUCCCGGGAGCAGGCUGAGGGUGCAGCUCCCCGCCCCCAACAGCCCCUCAGGGGAGGGGAGAAGACACGAGACAACCAUCGCAUGCCUUCCCCUUUCUCCUCCAUUCCUGGCGCCCUGGGCCUGACACUGGGAAGCCAGAUCCUUCCCCUUCCAAGUUUCUGUGAGGGAGUGAGGGCCGAGCCCCAAGGAGCCCAGGCCUCUGGCUCCUGUGGGCCUUGAGGGGAGCAGCUCCCCACCCAAAGCCACGCGCCAGCCCCUGAUUCUUAGAUCUCACCCUAAUGGCUUCCCCCGGGGCUAGCCAUCCAAAUAUUGAGUCACCAAGAGAAAAAAGCCUCACAGACCAAACCUAGAAGACUUACACAGGCUCUUCUAUUCCUGGAUGAAAGAUUUCACACCUAUUUUGUGCAAAAUCAGGAGACUUCUCAUGACUGGGUGUGACUGUAACCCCCAUGUAUGUGACGAGCCUCCCACAAAGUAAAGAUACCGGCUGCGUCACGUGACGCGGCCCCUGUGACGCCGCAGGCGGGUCCCCUCUCAGCUCCUGCGCUGACGGAGACCCCCAGCACCACCUGCCGGGUUAGCGCUCCCUCCCAUCAGAGAGCGUCGCCAUAUGUGCGGUUCAGGCUCAAGGGACCGUCUAGGGGAAACCAACGUCAAAUCAAGCGUUCCGGAUGCUGGCUGUGGUCCACCGGCCGCUGUGCCUCCUCCAUGGGUACCGUGGGCUCUGUGCCCCCUCCCGCCCUCCGCAUGUCUCACGAGCUGUUCGGAGGGGCUGCGGGCGCCGCAUGACAGCACUCUGGGUCGUGCAGCUGGGAGCUGCCUCCAGCACUUCAGAGUUUCCAGUCAGUGGUUUCCUGUGGGAGAGCAGGCCCGGCCUCCGCUCUCGCUUCCUGGCAGGCCUCCCCCUCUCUCUGCUCGGCCUCCCAUCCAUCCUGACCACUGGCCUGGCCUCGCUAGAGCAACAAAAAGUAGACUGGCUUCCUCAGAGUCAGAAGAUACAGCAUGCCUGGGAGCUGAAGCUAGCCACUGGCCCUUAGUGUUUAGGGGACAAGAGUGAAGUGGAGGGCACCCUGGGACCCCAGAGUCUAGAGCCUGUCUCCUGAGGACAAUCUGUUCUGCAAGAACGCAGCAGCCCAUUGGGGGUCCUCGUCUAUCCCGAUGAUGCCACGUGGAGGGCAGGGGCCCCUCCAUAGCAGAAGUGGCCACUGUGAGACGGAGGAAUCCGCAUGGGGCGACGGUUUUUAGGGAGGGCAGGGUCCACUGCUGGCUGAGAAGGCUGGACCUGGGGGCCGCGGGAGCCUGUUCCAGGGGCUGCUGGGAGGUUCAGAGGUCCUUCUGGGUGACAGCACGCAUGUCAGCAUACCAGUCCACCUGCUCGGAGCUGGGCUCUGCUCACGCUCUCUCAGGGACACAGAGAUGUCCUCCAAAGAUAGUCAGCCUAGAGAGGGAAACACGUGAAGUGUGAGCAACUCAGGCACCAGAUGCCGUGUGUGCCGAGACACAGGUACAGAGGGAGACAGGGAGGAAAGGAUAGGCAAGCCGGGGGGCUUCUUCUAGGAGGUUGGUCUGGGGUAGGGCCUUAAGGGAAGGGGAGAAUUCAACCAGGUAGUGACUGGGGAGGAUCACCUGUCAGGGAAUUCCAAGGAGAGGAAUGGCCUGAGCAAAAGCAGUGAAGGUGCCCGGGGGUCAGUGUGGCCUCACGCAUUGAAGUCUUGUUCUGCCCAGGGAAAAAUAAAACUGGUGGGUCAAUAA